rnacentral:lncRNA from 1 species
GAAUACCUAUGUGGCAGUUAACUCGGUCGAAAAAUUAAAAUCAAAUGCCAGUGCAUGAAAUUGCAAAUCCAAAACACGCCUCAGCCAAAUAAAAUCAUAAUAUGCCUUCUUCAUUCACAACGCCAAAGCUUGAAACUUCAAAUCCUUCUAAACCCUAACCCCAAAUCGAUUCUGCCCCCACAAUUGAGGCCCCACUCAACAGACCACAAAGCUUGGAUUUUUGAAGCUGUGCACAUGGAGGUAAUUCCCAAACCUUUUUUUCUUCGUCUUUUCUGAGUUUUUGCUUUCCUGAGCGCAAAAAUCCACAAGAUCAAAUCAACCGAUGCUUUCAUUUUGUGUAUUGUACUUAUAGCCUCUUCCCCUAGUGAAUUGAAUUCAAUGCCAAAGAUGAUACGAUAUGAAUUUCUCAAAAAGAUAAAGGUUGUGGGAUUGCCUGUGUAGCAAUAGACCUUUUUAUUUUUAUUUCAAAAUAAACCCAGUUUCGAGGAUGAGACACUCAGGAAUCUAUGAUGGAAUGCUUGUAUGUAUAUUUGGUGGUUUAAAAAUAUUUUUAGAGUUUUGAUUUUACUUUGCUUCCAUAAAAAGAAGGAUUUUAGGUUCUUCCCGGAUACUUGUGAUUUUUUUGCCAUUCUCUGCUGUUGCUGUUGAGAAAUGAAGUUUGUAAUGUAUCAUUUGUUUGCCUUAUCCACACAAUGCUCAUCAAAGUUGCAACAAGUACCUAUUGACUAAUGUUUUUGGAGAAUAUGAGUUUUGAGUUCGAUUAUUUGUUGUGAGCUAUACUUGGAAGAUACGUAUUAUAAAUGGUGUCAACCCAUAUGAGAAGUAUUCCAUUUGUUAAAUCUAAUUGAAUUUGUAACAGUCUUAAUGGAACGAAUAACUGAAGGAGUAGUGCUUUAAAUUUUUGCAAUGGCAUAUACUGGAGCUUGAUUGAAUUUAAGGAAAUGAGAGGUUUUUUUGAAGUGGGAAAGCACACGAUUGAUAUGCGCUGCAACACAUUGAAUAAACAUUUCCACCCUCAGAUAAAAAUGGUGCCGGAUAGAGGGAAUGGAGCAUCAUCGAGCCAACCACAUGAAGAACAACAAAGUUUCCAGUUCAUGCCCACCUCCGAUGUGGGGCUGCAAUCUGAAACAGUUGUUAUAAGUAGUGGGCCAGCAACUUCCACGCAUAUGGAUGAGAGUAAUGAUGGAGGACAAUCUUUUGAAGCUCAGGUGGCGACUGAGCAAACUGGGAUCUUUAACGUUUUGUAAAACUGAAAUGGGGGCUUUAGCUUUGGGAUAUGACACGUUUGAUUGUGCUUUUGGUUGUUUUAUUUGGUGUUCCUGUUUAACUAGGAAAAAAAAUUCUGUUUUGCUUAUGAACAACAGCUAUGUUUAUUUUGGCUUUAAUCAAAAUGAAGUCUAUUUCAGAAAUAGGUAAGGCGUAAUGCAUUGAAUUUGAAUAUGCUUUAAAAUAGUUGAAUAUUAAUCAAAGUUAAUCUGCUUUCUUUUUCAGAUUUUUGAAGAAUGUCCUGCUGUAGUAAGCUUAGCCACUCUCAAAUGCCUGAAUUUUCAUUGAUUCAGUUCAAGAUGUUUUAAAGCCAUAUUCAGUACCAGAGUGAAAUUGUAUAUAAAAUUCAUUGUGGAAAUUACUUUUUCAAAUUUUUACAUGUAAUUUAUCACUGCAACUUAUAGUUUAUCCAACAAC